GAGAAAGCCAGGUGGAGGACUUGGUCGGUGUGCUCUCUCAGCGUCUGAACCUCCACACAUGGGAUGCAGUCAAACAGACGCCUGAACUCCCUGUACCAUGACACCGACGCUGCACAAAGGACGAUCACAAAGCGGUCUUCAAAGUUAACAUGCAAUGGAAAAAACACCCAACAGAAAUUCUACACCACCUCCUGUACCUGUAUGGUGAUAUGACAUCAGUCAGUGUUCUGCUGGUCUCUGUAACUGAAGAUGUGCUGUGUCAUUGUUGUGUAGUGUCGGUGGACAAAUAUCAUUACGCUGACCACAUGGGAACAGGUGACUAACUGAGAAGAGAAGACAUUAAAGUGGAGCGAUGCUGUGACUGUUAAUCUCCCUUCUGCGCAAUGCUGCUGCGUGGGUAGUUUGUUGCUGGUGCUGCUGUCAGAGGAGUGAGGCAGAAGGAUGACAAAACCAGGGCAAAGGGAAGAAGGUGUGGACAGUCUUUAGUGAUGGAAAAACACAAAGUCAAAACCCUCUCUAAUCCCUCUGGCUUGAAGAGAUGCCCACAUUUUCCCUCUGCCUUAUUUACCUCUCAAGCUUAUGCACCUGCAGCUUGUUGAUCUAUGUUGCUCUGUACUUGUUAUAAUGAUGACUUGUCUGAAAACUCCUUGUUGGGGAGCUGGAUAAUGUCUGACAGCCGACAAGUGCAGCAGUAAAUUAACUAACUUAAUAAAAUAAAUGGUUGUUUAA